GCAGAGGUAGUUUAUAAAAAUAUAGGCUUUGGGUGUCUAAGAUGUUAAUUCUUUAAUCCUUUGAA
rnacentral:tRNA from 1 species